ACCGAUGGCAGCGUUUCAUCCUCCACAGAAGUUUCUUGUUGCCAGACGACAUGCUGAAUACAAGCAUGGAUUUUGUGAAACACGCAUUUGUGUUUCACCUACAGACUGGGAUGGCGCAGGAGUUACUUCAGGACUGGUGACUUCAACCCACAGUCUUCAGAACCACCAGUCACCAAGCAUAGCUGCUCCUAAUGACAUUUCCUAUUCUAGAGCGGAUGGUUCUGUGCAACCUCUCCUAAACUGGUUUUCCGCAAGAUGCAGCACGGAAAUAGGAAGAGGCCACUCAAUGACUUCUGAUACAAAGACUUCAAAUGGUAGGAAUAUUCCAUCUUUAGUGUUUAGCUACCCCUUCCGUAAUUUUCGCUUUCAAAUGACCCAUCGCCAGUCUUCAAAUCAGAAUCAGGCUUUUCUAACUGGAAGCAAGACGGUGGCUUCAAAGACCAUUCCAAAUAAGACAUUGUAAAAAUAGUUGUUGAAAAAAUUGUAUAAAUAUGAUUGUUGCUCACAUGCUGUGUGUGUGUGUUUGUUUUUAAUGUACGCAAACUGGC